rnacentral:misc_RNA from 1 species
GGGCAGUAGUUUCUAAUGUCACAGCAGAAGCACAAAAAGGUUGGAGGAGAUGUCCUUUGGACCAACUGAAGCUACUCGACUUCAUAACUCAUCAUGGUAGUAGUCAUCGAGGUCAUGCCGAUCCCUUCGAUAAUGCCUCCUCCUAUCUCUAUGACGAUGGUCUCGCUCCCUUCUUCUCCUUUCACCUUCCUCGCGAGCCCUUUCAGCCUCCUUUUCUUCCCUAGCCUUCCUUUCU